rnacentral:rRNA from 1 species
AACGCUGGCGGCGUGCUUAACACAUGCAAGUCGAACGGAACUCUUUGGAUCAAGACUUCGGUCAAGUGAGAUUGAGUUAGUGGCGGACGGGUGAGUAACGCGUGAGGAACCUGCCUUUCAGAGGGGGACAACAGUUGGAAACGACUGCUAAUACCGCAUAACGCGUAGAGAUCGCAUGGUCUUUACGCCAAAGAUUUAUCGCUGAGAGAUGGGCCUCGCGUCUGAUUAGCUAGUUGGUGAGGUAACGGCCCACCAAGGCGACGAUCAGUAGCCGGACUGAGAGGUUGACCGGCCACAUUGGGACUGAGAUACGGCCCAGACUCCUACGGGAGGCAGCAGUGGGGAAUAUUGGGCAAUGGACGCAAGUCUGACCCAGCAACGCCGCGUGAAGGAAGAAGGCUUUCGGGUUGUAAACUUCUUUUAAGUGGGAAGAGCAGAAGACGGUACCACUUGAAUAAGCCACGGCUAACUACGUG